UUCUGUGUGAAUCUCUGUUAAAGUGUAAUUUAUUUCUGUGAUGUACAGCUGGAUUUUCAGCAAGGCAUAAAUACGUAACGAGAUCUAUAUUAUAGAUCAGUGGUUGCAACUUAUCUCAUUAUUAUGAUUUGGUAAAUAAGUGUAAAAAUUUUAUGUCAUAUGACUUUUUAUCUCAUAUUUCGGUCUCCAAUGACUGAUCUCAUAAUUAAGUUUUAUUAAAGCAUGAAUUGUUUCUUAUGUGGCGGAAUGGGCUUCCAUAACACCUGAAAUACAGCUACUGGUCACACACACCCGUAUUUAACACUUUCUAACCUCUGACCCCUCCGUGUGCAACUGAACAAACAGUGCAUGAUAAACAACGGAGCGUAAUCAAUGUGCACGAGCCUGUGUGUGUGUGUGUGUGUGUUUCAGCCGAGCAGUGUGUAACGCUGGAGAAUCGACCUGUCUAAAGCAGAGAAAUACUGGGACGGCUGGUUCAGAGGGACAUCGAACCUCUUCCUGUCCUGCAACGUCCCCAAACUCCUUCUGCUGGCAGGCCAUAGACACGGACCAUCAGACACUCACCCGAAACACAUGAAAUCUGCUCAGUUCUGUCCGUUUAAUGUGAAAGGUGUCCUGUGUUCAGGCAUUGAUCGACUGGACAGAGAGCUGACCACUGGACAGAUGCAGGGUGCUGCCUCCUUGUGGACAUGCAGUGCAUGAAGUGGCAGAUGCUUUGGCAAGUUUUAUGAUCAGGCACAAAUUUGCAGAAGCUCGCAGUGAAGCUAAAAGAUGAAGCAGAAGACACCUCAACCGGAUCCAACAUCCUCCACAUCCAGAAAAACCUUGGACUUAAAUCCAGGAAUUGUUUCAACUGUCACUGUCCUGAGUUCAGAAUAAAGAUCUGAAUGUUCUUAUUCAACUGUUUUUGGAAUUUCCGGAAGCAUUUAAAUAUUUAAAUGAGAUGGAAUCAUGUGACAUCAUCAUAGUCAAGAGAAGAAAACACAGUGUAAAUGAGGAGCAUGACGUUUAGCCCCCCCAAAAAAUACAUUAAAAUUUAUUAAUAUUCAAAGCACAGUCUGAAACACGUGCAAAAUACUGAGCAUGAAAUGAAACAAACCUCUACUUAGACUCUGUGUAUGUGUGUGUGUGUGUGUGUGUGUGUGCGCAUACACAAACUUGUGACCGAACUUCGAAUCUCACAACGAAAUCCAACCUCUAAAUACAUAAAGUGCAUGAUGGAAAACUUAGCAAUUCAGGAGAAAACUGGACAAAAUUAUUCUCUAUUUACAAUAUACAGUCAAACCAGGAAGAGCGAGUUACAGAUUUAAAGGAACAGUGCACCUGAAAAUAAUCAUUUACUCACUCUCACGUCAUUCCAGGAGUCUGAUUUGACAAAGAACAUCUGAAACCGUUUGAAUAAACUUCACAAGUGAUUCUGGAGUUGUACAGAAAAUAAUAAAUAAUAGUAGAGAUGUGGAACGACCCGAGGGUGAAUAAACAGUAACGGAACGAACACUUAUGAGGUGAACUAUGCCUUUAAAGAAACAGUUCACCCAAAAACCAACAUUUGCUGAGAUCUCACUCACCCUCAGAUCAUCCGAGAUUAGAAUGAGUUUGUUUCUUCAUCAGAUUUGGAUAAAUUAAUGUAGCAUUGCAUCAGUGUCUAAUUAAUGGAUGCUCUGCAGUGAAUGGGUGCCGUCAGAAUGAGAGUCCAAACAGCAGAUAAAAA